rnacentral:rRNA from 1 species
AUUGAACGCUGGCGGCAGGCCUAGCACAUGCAAGUCGAGCGGGGUUUUCGGACCUAGCGGCGGACGAGUGAGUAAUGCGUAGGAAGCUACCCGAUAGAGGGGGAUACCAGUUGGAAACGACUGUUAAUACCGCAUAAUGUCUACGGACCAAAGUGUGGGACCUUCGGGCCACAUGCUAUCGGAUGCGCCUACGUGGGAUUAGCUAGUUGGUGAGGUAAUGGCUCACCAAGGCGACGAUCCCUAGCUGGUUUGAGAGGAUGAUCAGCCACACUGGAACUGAGACACGGUCCAGACUCCUACGGGAGGCAGCAGUGGGGAAUAUUGGACAAUGGGCGCAAGCCUGAUCCAGCCAUGCCGCGUGUGUGAAGAAGGCCUUCGGGUUGUAAAGCACUUUCAGUAGGGAGGAAGCGUUGUGUGUUAAUAGUACACAGCGUUGACGUUACCUACAGAAGAAGCACCGGCUAACUCUGUGCCAGCAGCCGCAGUAACAC